UUUCAGCCUCACUGCCUCAGGACCACUUUUCUGCGAUUUGCUACAGUGAUUUGUCUCCCUCAGAUGGAGACGCUGGUGGUGCCUCUGUGAUCCUGUGGCCCGUCCUCCAUGUUUUUAUGUCGGGGAAGAGUUUGGAAUGGAGUUUACCCUUUGACGCAGCUGUUCUAUAGUCAGCGGGAGUUUGAGUCAUAGCAGAAGGUGAUCCCUCCAUCACUCUGCCCCCUCCACCCCCGCCGGCCCUUCCACCCAUCGUUGAGGCCCUUCUGCUGAGCUGUGAUAGUCUCCUCCACAUGAAAUGCUUUCAAAGGAAAAUGAACUCUGACAUGAAAUCUCCUUUCCUCCCCUGCCCCCUCUCCUAUGUGACAGGAAAGGGAGUUGGACAGAUCCCCCGACAGUCCGGAGGGCUGGCUCCUUCAGAAGCAGAACCGCAUUCUUCAACGUGGUCGAAAAGGCCAUCGUUCGGGGGAGGGAAGGGGGGGACCUCUGACUUUGACCGAUCAGGGCACAGAUAUUGAUUAUCACGGAAUCGUGGAAAUUA